CGUUCUUCUAUCGCCACGGGUGCUUUGUUAAAAAACACUUAGCUGAAAAGCUUGAAUAAUUUACCUGUUUUCAUUGGCAGUCACCAGCUAACAUUUUUUUGAAAAUUUCCACAUACGCCCUAAGCAAUAGCAGAGUUGAAGGUUAUAUAGAACUGCCUAGCACCAGAUAACGUUUUGUAAAUAUUGCACGCCAUUUCGCUAACCCCUAUUUGAAUUUUCGCAUUUUAAUUGGGCAAAUGGAGAUUUUGCCAACAAGUAUUGGUAUUGCAUGGUGAUAUUGAGCUAUUGACUGAAGUAUGGUAUAAAUAGCGAUUCGGGCAGUGUUUCAAAAUAUUGUAAAAAUUAACCAUCACAAAAUAGCAUGAAGUAUACAACUGGAAAAAGCUGUCUGGCAUUAAUAUUUUUUGCCAUUAUUGCCUUAACUCUGUGCAUGGCUAAUGCUCAAUAUGUUGGUUCCUGUGGUCCCCAAGGUCCUUUGUGUUCUCGGGACUCGGAUUGUCAAUCAGGAGUAUGCCGAAUAGGACAAUUUCCAGGAAGCAAAUAAUAGCUCAGACGAAAAGUUUCCACCAGCUGGAAGGCAAAAAUAUUGGGCUUAACUUAAAAAAAACUAUUUUUUUUAUGAUACUUGAAAAUAUUUUUACCAUGGAAUAGAAAAAUUAAAAAAUCUACAACUAAUUCGGCUAAUUUUGUGUGUUUCAAUGAAA
rnacentral:sRNA from 1 species